GACGAACGCUGGCGGCGUGCUUAACACAUGCAAGUCGAACGGAAAGGCCCUGCUUUUGUGGGGUGCUCGAGUGGCGAACGGGUGAGUAACACGUGAGUAACCUGCCCUUGACUUUGGGAUAACUUCAGGAAACUGGGGCUAAUACCGGAUAGGAGCUCCUGCUGCAUGGUGGGGGUUGGAAAGUUUCGGCGGUUGGGGAUGGACUCGCGGCCUAUCAGCUUGUUGGGUGGGUAGUGGCUUACCAAGGCUUUGACGGGUAGCCGGCCUGAGAGGGUGACCGGCCCCAUUGGGACUGAGCUGCGGCCCAGACUCCUACGCGAGGCAGCAGUGCGGAAUAUUGCACAAUGGGCGGAAGCCUGAUGCAGCAACGCCGCGUGCGGGAUGACGGCCUUCGGGUUGUAAACCGCUUUCGCCUGUGACGAAGCGUGAGUGACGGUAAUGGGUAAAGAAGCACCGGCUAACUACGUG
rnacentral:rRNA from 1 species